AUGUGGAACAACAUGGUUGAAAUCUCUCAUGUUUUCUAUCAUGAAUCGAACCAGGUAUGAUUUCUCAGCACACCCUUUGCUGACUUCUAGCCCUCAUGAACUUGUUCCCUUCUUGGAAUUCUACGCAGAGCAGAACAUCCCCUUCCCAGACCUGGACACACUUUCCUCUCCUCAGCUCUUCCAUACUCACAUUGCCUUCACUUCAUUACCCCAACCUGUCAUAGACUCUCAGUGUCGAAUUGUCUAUAUCUGUCGCAACCCCAAAGAUGUGUUUGUUUCUAGUUUUUGUUUUAUCUCGAGAUGUCAUAUAGUGGUUCCCCUCGAAGAGGCAUUUGAGUUGUUCUGCAAAGGAAUUAGCUUCUAUGGACCCUUCUGGGACCAUGUUUUAGGGUAUUGGAAGGCUAGUUUAGCUUCACCCCAGAGAAUAUUGUUCUUGAAAUAUGAAGACGUGAAGGGGGAUUCCUUGUGUCAGGUCAAGAGGUUGGCAGAGUUCAUGGGCUCUCCCUUCUCUUCCGAGGAAGAAGGACAAGGUUUGAUACAUGAAAUUAUGGAGCUGUGUAGUUUUGAGAAUCUAAGAAAUUUGGAGGUAAACAAGACCGGAGCACUAUCUGUGGGCAAUAUCAGCACUGGAAAGGAUACUUUCUUCAGGAAAGGUGAGGUUGGUGAUUGGAAGAAUCAUUUGACAGCUGAAAUGGCCGAUCGCAUUGACAGGAUCAUGGAGGAAAAGUUGAAAGGUUCUGGUCUGACAUUCAGCGACUCCUGUGAUAGCUGAUUAUUAAUUCUGGAGGUGAACUUCAUAUGAUUUGUAUUAAGUUAAUUUAUUAACUAUCUAAUUGUCUUCUGUUAAGUGUGCUUGUGUGCUUGUAAUAAAUGGAAUGAUGGUGUUGAGUUAAUUUGUAUUAAGUUAUAAGGCUUUCUUAAUUUAUAUUUAAAUUCAAUACUUGGGCUAAGAAAUCAAUUCCACCAAAUAUACACAUGGACCAAUUAAAUUGGUCUCAUGAAUAUAACUAACUCAUCCUCGUCAAGAAAUUCCAAAAAUUUAAGGGCAACAUGUGUUUCAUGAGAUUGUUCAAUUUCUCACAUUUUUUUAUUUCAAUCUACCUGAACAAGCUCAAUUAUAAUUGAUUCUAUUACGGUCUCAUUUUCCAUCCGAUAUUGUUCGAUUUAAGACUAUAAUGAUGCACAUAUAAUCCAUCAGUCGAUGUUGAUUUUACUUCUUUAUUUGACCUAUGAAAAAACUUUGAAUGUGUUGUGAAAGUCCUUCAUGUAUAGCUCUUUAAUAUUUUCACAAUAUGAUAUUUUCUUCCUAAUCCAUGGUCAUUGUCUUCUCCACUUAAUUUUGGUGUGGCAUAGUCCUUAUGAAUAUUCUAAGAGUAAUCUCCCAACUAUUGCAUUAGAAUUUAUACUUACUAAUCAAUCAAUCAAUCAAUGAUCAUUGUCUUCGUCAUUGUCCUUAUGACUUGAGAGCAUGGGAUUGCACCAUUUUUUUUUUUUUUUUACCGACAAGUAGUAAUUGGAAGACAAAAAUUGUUGUAUUUGAUAAAGUCAAUAUCAAUAUGUUGGAGCUUAACAUGUAGGUCUUGUUGUUGUAAAUUCAACUUUUGAUUGCUUCAGGGUUAACUCCAUACCAUUUCAAAUUAGAUGUUUUCUGAGGUAUGCAUGCAUAGAAGGUUCGUAAACCUUAAGGAUUAGCUAACACAACACAUUAGAAUGAAAAUGAUGGAGUGAAGGUCUGAAAAAUGCAACACCCUCCUAGCUGAAGUGCUUGUCCUUGGGCAUUCAAACAUUUAGAGAUUUCUUUGCUACUUUCUAUUUCAUUUCUAACUUUAAAAAUUUGAUUUUGAAAUAUUUUUAAAGUAGAAAUCCUCCAUAAUUAAUUUCUAAAGUAUUUUAAGCAUACAUAAGCAUGUUUUAUUGAAAAUUUGUGAGCAUCUAAAUCUCACAAGAGGAUAGUCAUUAUGGAUGUUUGAGCCUCUAUCUUUCAAUUUUUUUCAAGAUAUUUCUUAAAAGAACUUUUAAAUUUGUUUACUACAAUAAAGAUCAAGGACUCACAUUACUUAAAUUUAAUUUAUUAAGGGUUUCAAACAAUCUAAUAACAGGCAUAAGAAAGUAUUACAUUGAGACAUAGAAAGAAAAGUGAUGGUACUGAUGAUAUUAUACCUUAAAAAAUAAGUAUAUCAAAUCAAGCUAAAUGAUAUUUUUUUUUCUUAUAUUUAAUUGAUAACUUGGUGAUCAAGAGAUGAUCCAUGAUCUUUAACCUAGGGGUUCUAGGCAGUUUUUCAUUUUUAUUCUAUAUAUUCUUACAAUUAUUUAGAAAAAGGAUUACUUGCUCGAAAAAGUUGAAUAUUUUUUGUGUAAUUUCCUAACAACCAAACAUUAGCAUAUUGGCAUUAAUUUUGGCUGACUUUCUUUUGGUAAGAAUAAGACAAAUAACUAUAGAAAGUGCUACGAGAUAUUUGUACACUUUAGGUUCCUUAGGAAGUAUAAGAAAGAUUAGUGAUUUUUUAUUUGUUCGAUUAGUUGGUUGAUUGGAGUUUUCCUUUUCGUGUUUUGUUGUCUCUUUGGGUAUUGAUAGGACAUGACCUUUUAAAGAAAAUGAUUCUUUAACAUGAGCACAAUGAACAGUUUUGUCCUUUGCAACAGUAAGUGAGUAUAGAAAUAAAAUGAAAAGAUUUGUACUUUAUAUGAGUUGUUCUUUGGGAAUACUACCUACAUUUGACCUCGAUAAUAAAAUGAUAUGUAAAGUGCAUGUCAUUAAAAAAUUUAUAAAAAUUUAUCAAACUAUAUAACCUAUUGGUGAGAAAUAAUCACAUGCAUUUUAUACGUAUCUAAAUAUCAUAAUUUUUUUUAAAAAUUUAUUAUUAAAUAUCAAAUAUAAUUUGUUAUUUAAUGAACUAUCUAACUCUACAUAAAAAUAAUAAAAAAUCUUAAUUUUUUAAUUGUAUUUUUAAUUUUUUUAAUUUUUAAUUUUAUUAAUCUCAAAUUAAUUCUCAUAUUAAAUUAAUUUAUAUUAUUAAUAUAUAAAAAGGUCAUUUUAGGAAAUAAUUAUUUGAAUCAUGAAAAAAUAUAUAUUUUAAAAUAUUUUAAAUGAGUGAGGAUAAAUAUGAUUUAUAAAAGUUUGAGAUAUUUUUUUAUACUUUUUUGUUUUAAAUUGGUAAGUGAAAACCCACUUUUUCCAAAAAUAAUUAUAUAAACAUGUAGAAUAAAACACUACACAUACAAAUUAUUUUUGAAAAUAUUAAAAAUAUGUUAAAGAUAAUUUAGGUCUUUAAACAAACCUUUGCUUUACAAAAUAUAAGAAAAAAAAAUUAAAAACUGUUAUUUAAAACUAUUUUUGAUUCAAAAACAAUUUCUAGACAUAGCCUAUGUUUUUGUCUUCUUUUCUUUUUAUCUCCUUGUUCUUUACUUUGUUUUCUUAUACUCUGCACAAGGCUCUCUAGUUUCCUCCACAACACUCCUACCAACUGCCGCCACCUUCUUUACAGGCAAUACAGAGCUUAAUGUACUUUUAAAAAAUGAAGAUAAAGAGGAAAUCAUUAAUUGGAUAUUUGGAUGUCAACCUAAUGCAAGCAUUAUAUUUAAAUUGAAUUGUUUUGCAGUUGGUCAGAUUUCCACAUCUUUCCCAAAUAUUGCUGAAGAAUUGGUUUGACAAGUGCUGUUUUCUUCUACAAAAUAAUUGAACAUACAUUAUCACUUCAAAUCAAGUGUCGGGGAAUUAUGCCUUCUUGCUUCAAUGUUAAUCUUGAUAGACAGCUCAUAUUUUUAGUCAUUCCCAUAAUUGUUGCAAUCAUGCCAUUAAUAUAUUUGUGACUAGUGUAUUUAAAUACCACAUCCACAAUCAUAGCUGUAAUUGCUCCAUGUAUCAAGCCAUUACAUGUGUUUAUAUACCCAUGUAAAUUAUGAAUGAAAGCAAGAGUUUUUCUGUUCAAGUUUCUGUUGUUUUAAAUCUAUCAACUCAAAGCUUUACUUAGAGUUAGGGAUGAAGAUAGGCGGGCUCACCCGAUCUAAUUUGAACCCAAUUGGAUAUUUGAACGAAUUUAAACAAUCAUUUUUAAUAAUCAGGUUGGGUUGAGUUAGGCUUUUUUCAACCUGAACUUAAUUUGGAUUGAGUUCGGAUUAAGGUUUAGACAACUAGAGUUUAACUUGAAUCCGAUUUAAUGUUUUUAUAAUAUUUAUAACACAUUUUAUUCUAUAUAAUAAUAUAAGUUUUCUUUUUCUAUUUUUAUGAAAAAUAUCAAAUUAUAUUAGAUACUAUGUUUUUUAUUAUUUUUAGAAAAUAUAUAAAUUUAUACUUAUUCUUUUAUUGCUAUCUUGAAAUUUUGUCCUAUUUGUUAUUAAAAUUUUCAUAUAAAUACAUUAAGAUAAUAUUAUACAUAGAUUUUGAAUUAUGCAACAUGACCAAUUCAAGUGUAACUUGAUCAAUCUGAAUUUAACUUAAACAACCCAAACUCAAUCUAAGUUUAGAAAAAUUAGAUUGGAUUCAACUUGAUUUAAAUACAUUGGGUUAGAGUUCAAGUUGGGUUGAGUUCAAAUUGAUUAUUUCUUAAUUCAAUUUAGGUUUAGGUUAGUCUUCAACUCGAUCAACUCACCCAAUUUACAACCCUAGAUAGAGUACCAACUUUCGAAUCAUACUUUAAUAAACCCAAAAGCCUAAUUAAGAGAUAAAAAAAAGCUACCUAAAAGCAAAUCAACUUGAAUUUUUAUCGAAAAAACAAUAUCAGUAAUACAUUUAAGUUAUGUUUGGUUUUUAAAAAAUGAAGGAAAAUAAAAAAUAGGAUUAAAGUUAAUAAAUUAUUUUUAUAUGCUAGCUUCUUCAAAUUCAUUUAACUUAUUUCUCUCAAUUACCUGAAGAUUAAAUAAUUUUUAAAUAUAUAAAUUUUUAAUGAAUUGUAAUUAUAAUUAAGCUAGGAGAGAUUUACAUUUGAAAAAGUACCAACAUCUUUAACCUAUCUGAGUCAUCUAAGAUAUGUCGAUAUUUCUUAUAAUAAAUAUGAGGUACUUCUUAAUGCAAUUACAAAGCUAAAGCAUUUACAGACAUUGAAACUUUUUCAAUGUUUGUAUCUUAAAGAAUUGCCAAAAAAAUAUAAACAAUCGGACAAACUAGAGGCAUCUUGAGAUUGAUGGGAAUAGUGGAUUGACUUUUAUGCCAUGUGGGUUAGGAGAAUUGACUAUGCUUCAGACUCUACCAUUGUUCUUUGUUGGGAAUAACAACAGGAAUUCUAGUGAUAAGAGAAUUGGUCAGUUGAAUGAAUUAAAAUGCAUUAACAACCUCAGAGGAGAAUUGUAAAUUGCACAACUUUCAAAUAUGAGGGGUGGUUGUGAAUGUUUGCAAAAAAAAAAAAAAAAAACCAUCACACAUUAUCGUGGUGAGUGUUUCUUCUAUAUAUUGUCAUUUACAAAGUACAUAAAAAUAGAAAGAAUAAAUAUGUACAAGAGAAUAGCCUAGAAUUAAGGACAAGAUAUUGAGCCGAAUAUUAAGGUAGCUAAUUAAAGUAAUGUAUCCUUGACACCCCCCACAAGCUGAGCGUCGGAUUUGAAUAGACAUGAAGCUUGGUACGAAAGAAGUCAAAGAGAGGGCGAGAAACACUUUUGGUGAAGAGGUCGGCAACUUGUAGAUGAGAGGGCACAUAUUGAGUGCGAAGUUUACCAACAAUAAGAAGUUCUCGAAGAAAAUGAUAGUCUAAUUCAACAUGCUUAGCCAGUUUGUGGGAAACGGGGUUGGAGCUUAAGAAAAUCGCACUUUUGUUGUCACACGGGAGAAUAGGCUUCGGUGUAAUGGGAACCUUAAGAUCAUGAAGUAGAUGGGUGAGCCAAAGGAGUUCAGCUGCAGUAGUGGCAAGGGUACGAUACUCAGAUUCACAACUAGAACGAGAGACAGUGGGUUGCUUUUUAGCACUCUAAGAAACCAGAUUAUCGCCAAGAUAAAUAGAGUAGCCAAAGGUGGAACAUGGAGUAUUGGGACAACCGGCCCAAUCAGCAUCAGAGUAAGCAACUAGGGCACUAGGAGCACCAAAAGGGCGAAAAGUAAGACCAAAGUGAAGUGUGCCCUUGACAUAACGUAAGAUGCCCUUGACCGCAAGAAAGUGAUCCUCAGUAGGGGCAUGUAGAAACUGACUAACAGAGUUGACAACAUGAGCAAUGUCAGGGCGAGUGAUGGUUAAGUAUUGAAGGGCACCAACUAGGGAUCAAUAGAGAGUGGGGUCUGAGAAGGCAGUACCAUCACUAGUCAGAUGCUGAAAGACAACCAUAGGAGUGUGAACAGGCUUGCUGUUAAAUAACUGGGCACGAGUCAGAAUAUCCCGGGCAUGUUUCAGCUGAUUGAUAAAAAGACCAUCAGUAAUGGAAGUGGCUUCCAGACCAAGAAAGUAGCUGAGAGAGCCCAAAUCCUUGGUGGCAAACUCAGAAUUGAGCUUGUGAGCAAAGCUAUCAAGAAGAGAAGAGUUGUUGCCAGUAAUGAUAAUGUCAUCAACAUACAAGAGCAAAUAAAUAAUGUCAGACUAUUGAUGAAAGACAAAAAGAGAGGUGUCUGCACGGUUGCAAGAAAACCCAAGGGUGAGAAGAAAAGAGUUGAAACGUUGAAACCAGGCACGAGGAGCUCUUUUGAGGCCAUAGAGAGCUUUCUUCAACUGACAGACAUGAUUCAGGUACCGGGGAUCAAUGUACUUAAGAGGUUGUUCCAUAUAACAUUUUUAGUGAGAGUGCCAUUGAGGAAUGCAUUCUUCACAUCAAGUUGGCGAAGAGGCCAUUUGUUGGUAACAGCAAGAUAGAGCACAACACGAACAAUAGUAACCUUAAUAACAGGAUUGAAAGUGUUAGUGUAAUCAAGACUAGGUACCUGAGUAUAGCCUUUGGCCACAAGACGAGCCUUGAGGUGCUCAAUAGACCCAUCAGGCAAAUAUUUGGUCCAUAACACCCAUUUGGAACCAACAAUAUUUGUGUGGGCAGGUCAAAGAACUAGAACCUAGGUGCGAUUAUGUUGCAGAGCUUGAACUUCUUCAUCCAUGGCAACAAGCCAUGCAGGAUUCUUAGUAGCAGACUUGAAUCAUUUAGGCUCGGUGGAGGCAAGAAGAGUAGAGAGAAGCCCAAAUGAGCUUAAGACAUUGAGAUUCGCCGGAUGACGGGUCUUGAAAAUGUCAACUUUAGCUUGAGUAAGCAUGAGAUGAGAACCCAACGGAAGAGCUAGAGUAGGAGCAACAUCAGAAGCAACAGGAGGUGGGCGAGGCUUCAGAGACGGGGAAGAUGGACCUACAAGAGAGUCAGUAACCUGCAAAGACUUGUCCAUUGGGUUAGUACAAAUAACACACGGGUUAGAUUCAGACGGUGUAAUGGAUGGAGAAUGGUGUAGAGGAGACAUCGGAGGGGGGUCAAUAUGAGGCAUGCUUGGUUAAAGGAAAUUCGAAAAAUGGAGAGAAGAAGGGGGUUGGGCUUGGGAGCCAUUUAUGGAGGGAAAGUGGUGUUUAUCAAAUUGAGCAUGAUGGGUGAUAUAAAGCUUAGAGGUGGUGGGAUCAAGACAACGAAAACCUUUGUGGGAAGGGCUAUACCUUAGAAAGAUGGAAAGAAUGCUGUGAGGGGAAAAUUUUUUAGACAUAUAAUCACGCAGACAAGGAUAAACAGGACAAUCGAAAUGAUGAAAAUUCUCAUAAUUAGGUUAUGAACCAUAGAGAAGCUCAAAUGGAGACAUACCUCUGAGAAGCAGUGUGGGCAAAAGGUUAAUGAUGUAGGCUGUAGUGCUGAAGGCAUCAACCCAAAAGCAAGGAGAAAGAUGAGAAUGGAAAAGGAGGGUCAGACCGGUUUCUGUCACAUGUCGGUGUUUUCUUUCAGCACGACCAUUUUGGGUGGGGGUAUAGGGGCAAGAGAGUUGAUGAUGAAUACCCGAGUUGCUAAGGUGGGCUUUGAAGCGAUUGCUUGUAAACUCAGCACCACCAUCACUAUGAAAAUUUUUGAUGCGAGUGGAAUGUUGGUUUUCAACAAGAUUUUGAAAGUGAAUAAAAAUGUCAUAAAAUUCAGAUUUUUAUUUCAAAGGGUAAAGCCAAGUAAAGCAGGAAUAAUCAUCAAUGAAUAACACAUAAUAAAUAAAUCCCGAAGUUGACUUAACGGGGGAAGGACCCCAAAUAUCGUAAUGAAUAAGAUCCAACACAUGAGACAAGCGACGUUCAUUACGAGAAUAAGGCAAGCAAUGAUUUUUUGCAAUUUGACACGUCACAUAAUGAAAGAGAAGGCAACAAUGAGGUAAGAUAAAGAUGGUCAUUUUUAUUUAAUAAAGAAAUAAUUGCUAACAUGUCCAAGACGAGCAUGCCAUAAAUCAUACGAGGCAUGAAGAGCCUUAUUUUUAAGAACAAAAAUGAAAGAGGAAUUGCCGCGCUCCAGCACAUAUAGACCACCAUCUCUUUUACCGGUUGCCACCACCCUUCCCGUUUGAUGAUUCUGGAUAGAAAAAAGUUAUUAGUAAAUGUAAUAGCAAGAAGAGGAAAACCGGAUGUUAAUUUACUAAUUGACAAUAUAUUUUCGUUAAGCGAGGAACAACUAAUACAUCCAAUAACUCAAGAGAUGGGGUAGGAGAGAUGGUACCGGUGUGGGUAAUGGGAAGGGAAGCACCAUUCCCGACAACUACACGAUCCUUACCCGUGUAAUUACUUGCUCGAUCCAAGUGGGAGAGGUCUGGUGUCAUGUGGGCUGAAACCCCUGUGUCCAGGUACCAGUCACUGGGCUUGGGCCUAUUAAGAGAGCAAGAGGCCUUAAAGACCUUAAAGGCCUCGACAAGGUUGGUUGUGGUGCCAACAGGUUCUCCACCUCGUGCAUAUCGCUGGUUUCACUUAUCAGCGUAGUGCCCUUCCUGGUGACAGAUCUGGCAGCGUGGCGGACGGCGGCCCUGCCCGGAGUUGGAACGACCAUUGCCACAGUGGGAAUAUGAGUGGCGACCUGAUUGAUGACGAGACUGGUUUAUGAAAGCUGAGCGAGGUUGACCAUGAUUGGUGGCUGUGAAAGCAGCUGUGGGUGGACCAUGAUUGUCAAGGGAUUUAUGGAAAAGCUUAAAGCUUUCAGCCUUGGAGAACAAAUCAGGAAAGGAGGGCAGUGGCGUUUGAGCCAUUUGGGCGGGUGGAAAAGCUUGUGAAAUCUGAACCAAGGCCACGGAGGAACCAAUGGACUUUAUCAGUGUUGUCGACUGGUCUUCCAAUGGUGUGGAGUUGAUCACAAAGGGCUUUGAACGCCCGAGCAUAUUCGGUUACCAAUCACGUCCCAUGUCUCAUCAAUUGAAGGUCAUCCUUGAGCCGAAUUUCUCUGGCUUUUGAUCAGUGACUGAAUAUAUUUUCGAGUGCUAACUAGACCUCGCAUGAGGUGGAGAGGCCCACAACCUCGGCCAUGGCUUCCUCCGUGAGGGAGGAGAGCAAAAGACUCAAGAGGCGCUGGUCAGUAUUUUUCCAUGCCAAGUGCUUGAUGUUUGGUGCCCGAGAGUCAACAGGAGCAAACCGUGGAGGAGGUGCAAGAGUUCCAUCCACAUGGCCGAGAAGUUCUUGGCUUUCAAGGAGAGGAAGAAGCUGGCUCUUCCAUAGGAGAUAAUUGGAGGAGGAGAGUUUGAUGGUCACCAUGUGAAUCAUGGUGUUGAAAGGGAGAAGGUGGGGGAGGUGUUUUUGAUAGCCAUUGAAGCAAGGGGGAUCGAUGGAGGCUAGUCCGAGAGGGCUCUGAUACCAUGUGAACGUUUUCAAAAAGAAAAAAACCACCACACAUUAUUGUGGUGAGUGCUUCUUCUACAUAUUGCCAUUUACAAAGUACAUAAAAAUAGAAAGAAUAAAUAUGUACAAGAGAAUAGCUUAGAAUUCAGGACAAGACAUUGAGCCGAAUAUUAAGGUAGCUAAUUAAGGUAACGUAUCCUUGACAGUGGUGCAUUAGAUUCCAAGGAAGCAAAUUUGAAAGGAAAACAGUGCCUUCAUGCCUUGAGAUUAUAUUGGUUGGAGCCAAUAGAAUGGAUGAUAUGGGACUUUGAACCAGAAAGGAACAACGUUGAGGAGGCUGAGUCGGUGACUCAAGUCUAAAGGAGCUCUACAUUAAGGAUUAUAUUGGUGAGAGGUUCCCAAGUUGGAUGAUGAAUGAUGGGUUUGGUUCAUUGCUCCCAAAUCUAGUGAAAAUUAUGAUGAAGAGGUGUAAAAGAUUCAGAGUUUUGCCACUGUUCGGUCAACUCCCUUCUCUUCAGUAUCUGGAGCUUGAGUGUUGUAUGGAGAACAUGAAGAGCUACUCAUCAUCAGCAACACCAUUCUUCCCAUCCCUGAAGACACUUCAACUUGAAAGGUUGCCUCAUUUGAUAGAAUGGGGAAAGAGGGACGUAGCAACAGAGCAAGCUCUUUCAUUUCCUUGUUUUUCCAAACUAAAGAUCAAAGUUUGCUGGCUGGCCCUAAAUUGAUGUCCUUGGCAUUGCCUUCAUCUCCUUCUAGUCUUUCUAUUCUAGAUAUCAAAGAAUGCAAUAACUUGGCAUCCUUGGCACUACCAUCAUCUGCUUUUCUUUAUGAUUUCUCAAUUAGACAUCAGUUCUUGCAAUAACUUGACAUCAUCGACACUUUCUUCAUUUCCUUGUCUUUCUCAAUUACAUAUCAAUUUUUGCCAGAACUUGAAAUCAUUACCAUUGUCUUUGUUCCUUGUAUUUCGAAAUUGCACAUCAGAUCUUGCCAUAAAUUUUUGCAAUAAAUUACUGUUUUUUGAGGAUUUGUUUUGAAAAUAAAUUACUUUUUGCAAUAAAUUUGAGGUGUUUUUGAAAAAUAAUAGUUUUUAAAUUUUUUUAAAACAUUGAGGUAUAAAAAAAAAAUUAUUAAUUACCUUAAAUUUAAAUUUUUUUAAAAGUGACUUAUUUUUAUUUCUAUUUUUUCUUCAGGAUUUGUAAGCCAUCUCUUAUUUGAUCAGGGACUUGUGGAGCUGUUGUCGUUACCUGUAAAAGCUUGUGCAUGAUGGACAAUGAUAUAGUACCAAACAGGAAAGGAUUUGGUGGAGCUUCCCUUUAAAGUAUGUGCAUGAUGAUGAAUUAUGAUCAUUUGAGGGAUUCACGAUUUUUAGAAAGAAAAAAGUGAAUUUGAAAAAGAAAAUGUCUGAAUGAAACUGACACCCAGCCUGUAAAGCACAAAGUGUGGUCAGACUAUACGAAUCAAACUUUAGCAACAUUGCCAAUGUAUUGGUCUCAGCAACACCAAUUUAAAAAUCCCCAUUAAACUCGGUAGCUCAGUGUUUACAGAUUUUGUGUUCAUGGCUGGCUCUCUUGAGAAUGCCAUGGUGCUGUCAUCAACAACCGAUGAAGAUGAGAAACAGAGGGAAAGUAGAAGCAAAAGAGAGAUCAUUUCCACCCUCCCAACUGAAAAAGGCUGGAAAAUUCAGGGUCUUAUGUACCAGUACCAAGGCUUUUGGUACUAUUCUGGGGGUGCUGUAGAAGGAGUCAUGUGGAUGCAAAAAUGCUUCAAGGCAAGGAAUGAAGAUGUUCUCUUGGUCUCCUUUCCAAGAUGUGGAACAACAUGGUUGAAAUCUCUCAUGUUUUCUAUCAUGAAUCGAACCAGGUAUGAUUUCUCAGCACACCCUUUGCUGACUUCUAGCCCUCAUGAACUUGUUCCCUUCCUGGAAUUCUACGCAGAGCAGAACAUCCCCUUCCCAGACCUGGACACACUUUCCUCUCCUCAGCUCUACCAUACUCACAUUGCCCUCACUUCAUUACCCCAACCUGUCAUAGACUCUCAGUGUCGAGUUGUCUAUAUCUGUCGCAACCCCAAAGAUGUGUUUGUUUCUAUUUUUUGUUCUCUCGAGAUGGAAUAUAGUGGUUCCCCUUGAAGAGGCAUUUGAGUUGUUCUGCAAAGGAAUUAGCUUCUAUGGACCCUUCUGGGACCAUGUUUUAGGGUAUUGGAAGGAUAGUUUAGCUUCACCCCAGAGAAUAUUGUUUAUGAAAUAUGAAGAUGUGAAGAGGGAUUCCUUGUGUCAGGUCAAGAGGUUGGCAGAGUUCAUGGGCUUUCCCUUCUCUUCCGAGGAAGAGGGACAAGGUUUGAUACAUGAAAUUAUGGAGCUGUGUAGUUUUGAGAAUCUAAGAAAUUUGAAGGUAAACAAGACCGGAGCAAUAUCUGUGGGCAAUGUCAGCACUGGAAAGGAUACUUUCUUCAGGAAAGGUGAGGUUGGUGAUUGGAAGAAUCAUCUGACAGCUGAAAUGGCCGAUCGCACUGACAGGAUCAUGGAGGAAAAGUUGAAAGGUUCUGGUCUGACGUUCAGCGACUCCUGUGAUAGCUGAUUAUUAGUGCUGGAGGUGAACUUCAUAUGAUUUGUAUUAAGUUAAUUUAUUAACUAUCUAAUUGUCUUCUGUUAAGCGUGCUUGUAACAAAUGGAAUGAUGGUGUUAAGUUAAUUUGUAUUAAGUUAUAAGGCUUUCUUAAUUUAUAUAUAAAUUCAAUACUUGGCUAAGAAAUCAAUUCCACCAAAUAUACACAUGGACCAAUUAAAUUGGUCUCCUGAAUAUAACUAACUCAUCCUUGUCAAGAAAUUCCCGAACCUUAAAAGGGCAACAUGUGUUUCAUGAGAUUGUUCAAUUUCUCCCCUUUUUUUUAUUUCAAUCUACCUAAACAAGCUCAAUUACAAUUAAUUUUAUCAUAUUUUAAAAAAUUUGUGUAACACGGGUCUCAUGAGCUUGUUCCCUUCUUGGAAUUCUACUUACAUCAGAACAUCCCUUUCCCAAAAUUGGACACACUUUCCCCUCCGCAUCUCUUCCAUACUCACUUUCCUUUUACUUCCUUACCUCAACCUGUCAUAGACUCUCAGUGUCGAAUUGUCUA
rnacentral:lncRNA from 1 species